AUGGUGAUGAAGGAGGAGCAAGCUGCAGCCAUUUAUGAGAAGUUCAGAGGCAUUUUUUUACCUCAUGUAAAGAUCAUAACACAGUGUAACCAUGGCCCCAACCUUUCAUGCUCUGCUGAAAGUGGAAGCAGCUUGCUGGGAAAUACAGCCCAAAGUCAAGGUGGAGGAGGUGAAGACAAAUGUUGGAAAUGAACAACCAGUAGUUUUCAUGUCCUGCAGAGAAGGUGGGCCCAGAGCACAUAUCAUGUGGUAAGAUGGAAAGGUAGGCCUCCUGCGCUUAGAUCUUGUGCUUAUUGGCAAAUGGCUGCUAAUGGUUUGAGUUUUAAUCUUAUAAAUUAAGUAUAUUUUUAAAAUUAUAAGUGAUUAGCAACUAUCUGCAUAUAAUCUAAGAUUGCUCCCAUGGGGGGAAAAAAACUGUUUUGCCUCUCAUCUAUCUUGCAUAGUAUGAACUCCACUGUGGUAUGAAACAAGUGCUUGCUUGAGUAACAUACCAGUUGCGUUAAAUUUCUUAUGACUACUGGCACAUAAGCCUUGCUUGAGUUUUGCACCAAUUGAAGAGUUUCAUGUGGCAGGAUAGGGGAGGGAGAAAGCUGAAAUGAAUAAAAUAUUAAUCUGGCACAUGUAGCAGGCUUUUUAAUUUAAUAUUUUUUCUAGAUCUAUACAGCACAUUCAUACAGACACUAAUCAGGUUUCUAAUCACACUCUUACUGUGUAUCUAAUAUUUCUCAGUGUAGCACUCCACUCAAAUAGGCAGGCCAAGUUUUUUGUAGGAAUGCAAGCUUUUUGCUUUAACAGAAUUGACUUUAGGUGCCUGGGUGGCUCAGUCAGUUAGGUGUCUGCCUUCAACUCAGGCCAUGAUUCCAGGGUCCUGGGAUUGAGUCCUGCAUUGGGCUACCUGCUCAGCUGGGAGCCACUUCUCCCUCUGCACUACCUCCCCUUCCCCACCCAGGCUAGUGCGCUCUCUCUCUCAAAUAAAUAAAUAAAAUCUUUUAAAGAAAAUUAACUUGUUUGUUCUAAUACUUCUCCCUAGUGCAUAUUUUUCAGACAAUGAAUCAAGACUUCUUUGCUUGAAAGUGACAGAAACCCAAUCAAACUGGCUUGCGCCAAAGAGGAAUUUAUUAGCAGACAUGUAGCAAUAGAAGGAUCGAAGUAUAGUUAGGCCUGAGGUGUAGCUGGAAACAGAAGUUCGUACCCUUCAAGGCUCUCCCAUCUCCUGUCUGUGCUUCUCUCUACAGAGGAUAUGUUGGAUAUGUGUUCUCUCUGAGCAGCAUCUUCCAUAUUUUGAAAAUAUAGCCACCAGCUGCUUCUGUACCUAAUAUGUCAUGGCUUUGCUACCAUCUAGGGACCCAUCUCUUCCCCUGUUUGUGUUUGUAAAACCUCCAGGGAAGGAUUCUGAUAGGGCUGGGUUAGAAGCCUGUGCCUAGGUCUCAAUCAUCUGUGGCCAGGUUGGAGUUAAUAAUAAAAUGGCCACAUCAUUCAGACUCCACAGUUGGGAGCAUUUCCUAGAGGAAAGGGUGGUACCAUUACCACAGACCUCAGGAGAGGGAGGAGCAGCAGAGAAACUUACUGAGUUACACAGUAAUUGAUGUUGCCCAUAAAGGCCUUCCUUUCUAAGUCCCAUCACAUGCUAUGAACUCUCUCAGUAUCAUUAAACUUUCCCCCCAAAUUUCCUACAGUCCACUAAAUUAUUUUUCCAUUAGAGUACAAAAAAGGUUUUAUCAGAGCCUAUUAAUAAAUUGUCAUUAAUAAAUUGAGUUACUGCAAAGAUGUUCAACAGCUGAUAUUCAAGGAUGUCAAUUUUACUUGAGGCCAAUUAGUCCAUUUUUGCCAACCUUUGGCACAAGUUAAUUAGAAUGAAGUAGACAUGACUGAGUCUAAACAUCUCACCAAAACAAUCCUUUUAUGGAAUUAAUUCACUGGGAUGUUUUUAUAUGUCUACUCCUUUACACUGUGUGCUUCCCUGUAUACACAAAAGCAAACCCAGCUGGUCUCCUGACAUUUGCCAGUACAGGAUGUCAGUAUCUUAGUGGCAUACUUUCAUUUCUCUGGUACAUAUUGUAGGCUGAGAGUCACCAGUGAAGAGUUUAAUAAUCACCACCUCUUUGGAAUGCCAAAAAUGUGUAAAAAUUGGCCCUUGCCUUAGUAUCAUCUUCCUUUAUGACUUGUGUGGACAAUAUCUGAUCCAGAAAAUUGAAAAGACAUGCAAAAUUGCAUUUUAUUUUUCAUCAAAAAUAAGCCACAAAGUAAAUGACAUUCAUAUAUACUUACACACACACACACACACACACACACACACACACCGCUACCUCUCUGUGUGCUUCACAAUAACUACAUUAAGAAAUUUCAGAUUAGCUUGGAAGAAAAUCACUGUUUCCAAGCAGAAGCUUUGAGAACUUUUUUCAGAUUAAAAAAAAAAAAGUCUAUGAACAUGCUCAGCUUCUGAUAAAGCUAGAGUUGAUUCUAUUCAAUAACGUGAUUCACCUUAUCCCAGUACAUAUAAGAAAAAUCACAGUCCAACAAUAGCUACAGGUUUAUAGAAGAUGGUAUAACACACCAACUGCACACCAAUUUUGCACACCAAAAUUGCACUUGCUGUGCUACAAAUGACUAUUCUUCAGAAUGCAGUAACUUUCCAAAUAAUGGCUAAAAACAAAACAAGGAAAAUUCCAUUUGU
rnacentral:lncRNA from 1 species